CCUACGGGUUGCACCAGUGGGGAAUAUUGCACAAUGGGCGCAAGCCUGAUGCAGCCAUGCCGCGUGUAUGAAGAAGGCCUUCGCGUUGUAAAGUACUUUCAGCGGGGAGGAAGGCGAUAAGGUUAAUAACCUCAGCAAUUGACGUUACCCGCAGAAGAAGCACCGGCUAACUCCGUGCCAGCGGCCGCGGUAAUACGGAGGGUGCAAGCGUUAAUCGGAAUUACUGGGCGUAAAGUGCACGCAGGCGGUCUGUCAAGUCGGAUGUGAAAUCCCCGGGCUCAGCCUGGGAACUGCAUUCGAAACUGGCAGGCUAGAGUCUUGUAGAGGGGGGUAGAAUUCCAGGUGUAGCGGUGAAAUGCGUAGAGAUCUGGAGGAAUACCGGUGGCGAAGGCGGCCCCCUGGACAAAGACUGACGCUCAGGUGCGAAAGCGUGGGGAGCAAACAGGAUUAGAUACCCGCGUAGUC
rnacentral:rRNA from 1 species